rnacentral:rRNA from 1 species
CGGUUGAUCCUGCCGGAGGUCACUGCUAUUGGGAUUCGACUAAGCCAUGCGAGUCGAGAGGGUUCGGCCUUCGGCUGACGGCUCAGUAACACGUGGAUAAUCUGCCCUUAGGUGGAGGAUAAUCUCGGGAAACUGAGGAUAAUACUCCAUAGAUCUAGGAUGCUGGAAUGCAUCUAGAUUGAAAGCUCCGGCGCCUAAGGAUGAGUCUGCGGACUAUCAGGUUGUAGUCAGGGUAAAGAUCUGACUAGCCUACGACGGAUACGGGUUGUGAGAGCAAUAACCCGGAGACGAUAUCUGAGACACGAUAUCGGGCCCUACGGGGCGCAGCAGGCGCGAAAACUUCACACUGUGCGAAAGCGCGAUGAGGGAAUCCCAAGUGUUUGCUCGUAAGAGUAAACUGUUUCUUUGUUUAAAACGCAGAGAGAGUAAGGGCUGGGUAAGACGGGUGCCAGCCGCCGCGGUAAUACCUGCAGCUCUAGUGGUGAUCAUUAUUAUUGGGCCUAAAACGUCCGUAGCCGGUUUAGUAAAUGCCUGGGUAAAUCGUGUAGCUUAACUAUACGACUUCCGGGUAGACUGCUAAACUUGAGACCGGGAGAGGCUAGAGGUACUCCUGGGGUAGAGGUGAAAUUCUGUAAUCCUAGGGGGACCACCAGUGGCGAAGGCGUCUAGCUAGAACGGGUCUGACGGUGAGGGACGAAGCCCUGGGGCGCAAACCGGAUUAGAUACCCGGGUAGUCCAGGGUGUAAACGCUGCUUGCUUGAUGUU